UACGUAGGGUGCUAGCGUUGUUCGGAUUUAUUGGGCGUAAAGAGCUCGUAGGCGGCCUGUCGCGUCGGAUGUGAAAACCCAGGGCUCAACCCUGGGCCUGCAUUCGAUACGGGCAGACUAGAGUACGGCAGGGGGGACUGGAAUUCCUGGUGUAGCGGUGAAAUGCGCAGAUAUCAGGAGGAACACCGGUGGCGAAGGCGGGUCUCUGGGCCGAUACUGACGCUGAGGAGCGAAAGCGUGGGGAGCGAACAGG
rnacentral:rRNA from 1 species